UAAUGGGUGAAUUUGGGAGAAGGAGCUAAGCAGUGCUUACGUGUUUCUGAAUCUCCUCUUUGAAAAGAUGUGCCUGCCCACAGUAACAUGAAUUUGGGUCUGCUCUCAGCUCUGUGAACGAGAAGAGCAGGGUUACUUGCCGCCUACCCAGUGUCACCUGUCACAGCUCCACCGAGAAAAAUGACUAGACAGCACUUACAGAAACAUUCUCUUCUUCCUUGACUUCAUAACUAACGUACAUUGUUCAAAAGCAACGCCCACUCGAAAGAGAGAAAAAGUUGAAAGGAACCAUUUUAGGAACAAACAUAGAAAGUCAGACAAACUGAGGACACAGAGGAGUACAUUCCAAAUGAAAGAACAUGACAAAACCUAAGAAAAAAAAAACUAAGUGAAACAGAGAUAAGUAAUGUACCUCAUAAAGAGUUCAAGGUAACGGUCAUAAAGAUGCUCAGUGAACUUGGGAGAAGAAUGAAUGGAUCCAGUGAUAACAUCAACAAAGAGAUAGAAAAUAUGAAAAAGAACCAAUCAGAGCUGAAGGAUACAAUAACAGAAAUGACAAAUACACUAGAGGGAAUCAACAGCAGAUAAGAAGAUGCAGAAGAACAGAUCAACAAUUUGCAAGACAGGGUAGUAGAAAUCAUCCAAGCUGAAAAACAAAAAGA